rnacentral:rRNA from 1 species
AGUUAAGUGACUAAGCGUACACGGUGGAUGCCUAGGCAAUCAGAGGCGAAGAAGGACGUGCUAAUCUGCGAAAAGCUUGGAUGAGUUGAUAAGAAGCGUUUAAUCCAAGAUAUCCGAAUGGGGAAACCCGAUGGAUGAAGAAUCCAUCAUUUCAUUAUGAAUCCAUAGUAAUGAAAGGCAAACCGGGAGAACUGAAACAUCUAAGUACCCCGAGGAAAAGAAAUCAACCGAGAUUUUGUAAGUAGCGGCGAGCGAAARCGAAAGAGCCAGYRAGUGAUARCAGCAAAGACAGAAGAAUUGGCUGGGAAGCCAAGCGACACAGGGUGAUAGCCCCGUAUUCGAAGUUUWUGUUGUGGUACUAARCUWRCRAYAAGUAGGGCGGGACACGAGAAAUCCUGUUUGAAGAUGGGGGGACCAUCCUCCAAGGCUAAAUACUCCUGAUUGACCGAUAGUGAACCAGUACUGUGAAGGAAAGGCGAAAAGAACCCCAGUGAGGGGAGUGAAAUAGAACCUGAAACCGUGUACGUACAAGCAGUGGGAGCCCGAAAGGGUGACUGCGUACCUUUUGUAUAAUGGGUCAGCGACUUAUAUUUUGUAGCGAGGUUAACUGAAUAAGGGAGCCGAAGGGAAACCGAGUCUUAACUGGGCGGAUAGUUGCAAGGUAUAGACCCGAAACCCGGUGAUCUAGCCAUGGGCAGGUUGAAGGUUGGGUAACACUAACUGGAGGACCGAACCGACUAAUGUUGAAAAAUUAGCGGAUGACUUGUGGCUGGGGGUGAAAGGCCAAUCAAACCGGGAGAUAGCUGGUUCUCCCCGAAAUCUAUUUAGGUAGAGCCUUAUGUGAAUACCUUCGGGGGUAGAGCACUGUUUCGGCUAGGGGUCCAUCCCGGAUUACCAACCCGAUGCAAACUGCGAAUACCGAAGAGUAAUGCAUAGGAGACACACG